GAUGAACGCUAGCUACAGGCUUAACACAUGCAAGUCGAGGGGAAACGACAUUGAAGCUUGCUUCGAUGGUCGUCGACCGGCGCACGGGUGAGUAACGCGUAUCCAACCUGCCUCUGACCAAGGGAUAACCCGUCGAAAGUCGGCCUAAUACCUUAUGCAGUCGUCGGAAGUCAUCUGAUGACGACGAAAGAUUUCAUCGGUGAGAGAUGGGGAUGCGUCUGAUUAGCUUGUUGGCGGGGUAACGGCCCACCAAGGCAACGAUCAGUAGGGGUUCUGAGAGGAAGGUCCCCCACAUUGGAACUGAGACACGGUCCAAACUCCUACGGGAGGCAGCAGUGAGGAAUAUUGGUCAAUGGGCGAGAGCCUGAACCAGCCAAGUAGCGUGCAGGAUGACGGCCCUAUGGGUUGUAAACUGCUUUUAUGCGGGGAUAAAGUGAGGGACGUGUCCUUCAUUGCAGGUACCGCAUGAAUAAGAACCGGCUAAUUCCGUG
rnacentral:rRNA from 1 species